rnacentral:rRNA from 1 species
GACGAACGCUGGCGGCGUGCUUAACACAUGCAAGUCGAACGGAAAGGCCCUGCUUUUGUGGGGUGCUCGAGUGGCGAACGGGUGAGUAACACGUGAGUAACCUGCCCUUGACUUUGGGAUAACUUCAGGAAACUGGGGCUAAUACCGGAUAGGAGCUCCUGCUGCAUGGUGGGGGUUGGAAAGUUUCGGCGGUUGGGGAUGGACUCGCGGCUUAUCAGCUUGUUGGUGGGGUAGUGGCUUACCAAGGCUUUGACGGGUAGCCGGCCUGAGAGGGUGACCGGCCACAUUGGGACUGAGAUACGGCCCAGACUCCUACGGGAGGCAGCAGUGGGGAAUAUUGCAAAAUGGGCGGAAGCCUGAUGCAGCAACGCCGCGUGCGGGAUGACGGCCUUCGGGUUGUAAACCGCUUUCGCCUGUGACGAAGCGUGAGUGACGGUAAUGGGUAAAGAAGCACCGGCUAACUACG